rnacentral:rRNA from 1 species
UGAGGAAUAUUGGUCAAUGGUCGAGAGACUGAACCAGCCAAGUCGCGUGAAGGAUGACUGCCCUAUGGGUUGUAAACUUCUUUUACAAGGGAAUAAAAUGAGAUACGUGUAUUUUAUUGCAUGUACCUUGGGAAUAAGCAUCGGCUAACUCCGUGCCAGCAGCCGCGGUAAUACGGAGGAUGCGAGCGUUAUCCGGAUUUAUUGGGUUUAAAGGGUGCGUAGGUGGGCUGUUAAGUCAGCGGUGAAAGUUUGUCGCUUAACGAUAAAAUUGCAGUUGAAACUGGUAGUCUUGAGUAUAGAUGAAGUAGGCGGAAUGCGUGGUGUAGCGGUGAAAUGCAUAGAGAUCACGCAGAACUCCGAUUGCGAAGGCAGCUUACUAAGGUAUAACUGACACUGAAUCACGAAAGCGUGGGUAUCAAACAGG